AGCAGCCGCGGUAAUUCCAGCUCCAAUAGCGUAUAUUAAAGUUGUUGCAGUUAAAAAGCUCGUAGUUGAACUUCGGGGUCUACCCAUUGGUCAGGCUUAAUUGUCUGCACUGGUAGGAUGGAUCUCUACCUUCUGAGGAACUUUCAUGCCAUUUAUUUGGUGUGAUGGGAAAUCAGGACUGUUACUUCGAAAAAAUUAAAGUGUUUAAAGCAGACUAUCGUCUGAAUACAUUAGCAUGGAAUAAUGAAAUAGGACGGACUGAUUCUAUUUCGUUGGUUUCUAGGAUCACCGUAAUGAUUAAUAGGGAUAGUUGGGGGCAUUAGUAUUCAAUUGUCAGGGGUGAAAUUCUUGGAUUUAUUGAAGACUAACUACUGCGAAAGCAUUUGCCAAGGAUGUUUUCAUUAAUCAAGAACGAAAGUUAGGGGAUCGAAGACGAUCAGAUACCGUCGUAGUCUUAACCAUAAACUAUGCCGACUAGGGAUCGGACGAAGUUAAUUUUUAAUGUACUCGUUUUGGCACC
rnacentral:rRNA from 1 species